GAUGUCAGUUCCCUGACAGUGACCAUGAAAAGGAACUCUGAAGGUAGGAGGAGCUCCGAGGCCCAGAGGAGAUGAGUGGCAUAGAAAUUUAUUAUUAUUAUUAUUAUUAUUAUUAUUAUUAUUAUUAUUAUUAUCACCCAUCACUGGUGAAGAAGAAGAAGAAGAGUUUGGAUUUGAUAUCCCGCUUUAUCACCACCCGAAGGAGUCUCAAAGCGGCUAACAUUCUCCUUUCCCUUCCUCCCCCACAACAAACAAUCUGUGAGGUGAGUGAGGCUGAGAGACUUCACAGAAGUGUGACUAGCUCAAGGUCACCCAGCAGCUGCAUGUGGAGCAGCAGAGAAGUGAACCCAGUUCCCCAGAUUACGAAUCUACCACUCUUAACCACUACACCACACUGGUGCAUGUGGCUUGGCUCCCUGGCUUGACUUGUCCACAGCUGUUGAUAGCUUGGCAGGUCCUCAGCUGUGGUCCCCAGAUGAUAUUUUCUGUUGUGAAUAACUGGUUGGUUACUUCCUCUGUUUUUUAUUUUCCUUUCUGUCUCCCAGGUCCUAAGACAGGCAGGCCACAGCGGCUGCUGUGGCACAGUGAAGAAGAGGAAGCCGCUCUGGAAGCUGUGAUAUGUUAAUUCCAUGGGGAAUCCAUUCCCCACAUGUGCCACGUGGUGCAAACCUGAGCAAAACAGGGCUGGGGUGGGGUGGAGCAGGCCUGUCUUGGCCCCCCCUUGCCCCCUCCUUCUGAGACAGGGGUUGAGCCAUCGUGCAGGGCUGUCUUAAGCAUAUGCGGCGCCGGGGUGCAAAGAUCUGGGGGGCGGGAGUCCAACCCCUGCACAGACUCAUCAGGG